GCCAAUGUAGAAAUUACAGAGAUCAGAAAAUGAGGGCUUGGGCAAAUUGUUCGAUUCAAUUUCCUCGAAUCGGUGGUCCUAGAUCUGACGGCGGCUGCGAUCGACUCGGUACUGGGCGCCGGCGAUCGUCACUGAGCUCGGCGCCUGCGAUCGACUAUGUAGUCGGCACCGGCGAUCGACUCGGUACUCGGCACCGACGAUCGAUUCGGAGCUCGGCGCCGGCGGUUGUUUCAGUGGUUCGGUCCGUCGGUUAAGUUGGUGGUUGAAUUCGUCGAUGGCGGUCGAUUCGGAAACUCUAGGGUUCUCGAAG
rnacentral:lncRNA from 1 species